rnacentral:rRNA from 1 species
GUGGGGAAUUUUGGACAAUGGGCGAAAGCCUGAUCCAGCAAUGCCGCGUGCAGGAUGAAGGCCCUCGGGUUGUAAACUGCUUUUGUACGGAACGAAAAGCCUGGGGCUAAUAUCCCCGGGUCAUGACGGUACCGUAAGAAUAAGCACCGGCUAACUACGUGCCAGCAGCCGCGGUAAUACGUAGGGUGCAAGCGAUAAUCGGAAUUACUGGGCGUAAAGCGGGCGCAGGCGGUUGUGUAAGACAGUGGUGAAAUCCCCGGGCUCAACCUGGGAACUGUCAUUGUGACUGCAAGGCUAGAGUGCGGCAGAGGGGGAUGGAAUUCCGCGUGUAGCAGUGAAAUGCGUAGAUAUGCGGAGGAACACCGAUGGGGAAGGCAAUCCCCUGGGCCUGCACUGACGCUCAUGCACGAAAGCGUGGGGAGCAAACAGGAUUAGAAACCCGAGUAGUCC